GUGACCUCAAAUCAGGUAGGACUACCCGCUGAACUUAAGCAUAUCAAUAAGCGGAGGAAAAGAACUAACAAG
rnacentral:rRNA from 1 species